UACGUAGGGAGCAAGCGUUGUCCGGAUUUACUGGGUGUAAAGGGUGCGUAGGCGGAAGAGCAAGUCAGUAGUGAAAUCUGGGGGCUUAACCCCCAAACUGCUAUUGAAACUGUUUUUCUUGAGUGGAGUAGAGGUAGGCGGAAUUCCCGGUGUAGCGGUGAAAUGCGUAGAGAUCGGGAGGAACACCAGUGGCGAAGGCGGCCUACUGGGCUCUAACUGACGCUGAGGCACGAAAGUGUGGGUAGCAAACAGG
rnacentral:rRNA from 1 species